AACGAACGCUGGCGGCAGGCCUAACACAUGCAAGUCGAGCGAGGACUUCGGUCCUAGCGGCGGACGGGUGAGUAACGCGUGGGAACGUGCCCUUUGGUACGGAAUAGCCCCGGGAAACUGGGAGUAAUACCGUAUGGUGUCUUCGGACUAAAGAUUUAUCGCCAAAGGAUCGGCCCGCGUUGGAUUAGGUAGUUGGUGGGGUAAUGGCCUACCAAGCCGACGAUCCAUAGCUGGUUUGAGAGGAUGAUCAGCCACACUGGGACUGAGACACGGCCCAGACUCCUACGGGAGGCAGCAGUGGGGAAUCUUAGACAAUGGGGGCAACCCUGAUCCAGCCAUGCCGCGUGAGUGAAGAAGGCC
rnacentral:rRNA from 1 species